GUUCAGAAGCAGCGGAGAAUAGGGAAUCCGGUGCAAAUCCGGAACGGUACCCGCCGCUGUAUGCGCGGAGGUGCUGUGCGUUGACGAAAGUCAGUCAUUGGGAAUUUUCCUGAGAAGGCGGCGCAGCACUGCGGAGGCGCAAGUCAGAAGACCUGCUUAUGUAG
rnacentral:ncRNA from 1 species